AUGGACCAAUGGGUGGCCAGUGGGGGCAGGCGUCUGGAUGAGCAGACGGGAGGGUGGAAGGAGGGAAGGAGGGGAGGAGGAAGGCUGGAUGUGCAGGUAGAAGGCGGGCGGGGGACUCUGCUGGUCACUGUCACCCGCCCCCACCCCCCCACAAAAGGAAGAAGCCUGGUCAGGAGACCGCUGUGCGCACCUCCUGACACGAUGGAAACUUUGCUGUCCUUGGUCACAGGCGUUUUCCCCGAUGGCCUUUUCAGUCUUACUUUUGCAAUGGGUGGAUGGGUUCUCAUCUCUUCAAUCUCUAACCCCCGGGGUCCACACGUUCUCACCAGGUUUCCUUUCUCCACGUUCUCUGAGCCUCCUCUCCUCUCCGCUGACCUCCCACGUCCGCCUCUCGGCGGGAUGAGUCCGGAGACAAGUGGGUUCCUCUGGGAACUCGGCGGCCAAGGGGAACGCCCGGCCUGUCUGAGCUCUGAGGAGAUGGUGGCCACGCCCGUCUCCCAGGGACGCCCAGAGCCUUUCCCAGGAAGACAUGGCUGUGGAGUCCGCCCUCUGGACGGCGGGACGGCCAGGACAACAGGCCCGCGUGGCCCCGUGGGGUCCGGUGUGAGGGACCCCUGCUCCAGCUCUCACCGCCCCACCCACUCUUGGAGCGCCUGUGUCCGUCAGGGGGGGCUCAGCUGCGGGAGGGAGGGACCCUCCGCGAGGUCUGCUCGGUGCCAGGACCUGAGACGACCUGCGCAAGGCCUAGUGGGGGGAUGCUCCUCGGCCACCUCCACUGGACACAUGGGAGCCCACCCUCCCCUGGAAUCUCGGGCUGAUGCCGAAGCACGGAGCGGUGCUGGACCCGAGAUGGGCGGAGUGGAGCCCGGGCGUCUGGUCUCACGGUGUGGUGUCUGCAGGGCAGGCUCGCACCCUGUCGUGCACAGAAGUGACCGCGGGAGAGGUGGCCGCCCGGGGCCGUGCAGGGACCGCCGUGGCCAGAGUGCAGGCUGCACGGGCCUGGGGCCCCAGCCUGUGACCUGCACCCAGCGGCUCCGCGUCCGGGGGGCCUGCAUGCCCUGCCGUCUCCCUGCGGGGACCCCCACGUCCGUGUGGAGUCCAUCUGUGACCCACGUUCAGGAUCCCCAGCUACUGUGCCUCGUUUUGUCUCAAGGUUAG
rnacentral:lncRNA from 1 species